GAGGAGGCAAAUUUGAUCACAGAAAAGGAAACACAUCAGCAUGUGAGAAAAAGAUAAAGUAUAAAACUGCAGAAAAAGAUUAAAGUAUAAGGAGCAUAAAGAGAUGUGUCAGAGAGCAUCACAGCAAGUAUUCAUGGUGAACUUUAAAGAACACAGAACACUGGCUAAAGAAAGUAAUUCUAUAAGUGAUGAUCAAUACAUUACGGCCCGGGUUGCUAUAGCAUAAUAGAGCAUUGUGGAUGUAUAUUAUUUGGUUGAGUUUUCAAUUUAAAGAAAAUAAUAUUAAAGCAAGUUGUACAUUACUAGUAUCUCUAGAAAAAAGUUACAUAUGAAUGUACUUUUUACCGAUUGUUAAAUUCCCAAUAUAUGUGUUCUGUACCACAAGCUCACCAGUUGUAAAAUGCUAGUAUCUCUAGAAAAGCUUAUAUCUUUAUGUACUUUUGAUCACUGGUAAAUAUGUGUUCAGUAGCUCAAAAUUAUAUCUCUAUAAAUCAUGUUUUUGACACAUAAAA